GAAAAUAUGGCACAUUACUGACCUUGCCCUUUGUUAGUUUCUAUUUUUUCUUAUAUUGGAUUCUUGACUCUAAGGUUUGUUUUGUUUUAAUUUUUAAAAUGUUCUUUAUCUAUCUUCCCCAAACGUAAGCAGAAAUACCUCCCCUAGUUAAUUUAACAGAAGGAAUUUAAUAUAAAGAACUGGUUAAAUAAGUGUAGGAAAACCAAAAAGUCAAUAAGAGAGUCCUGAGGUAGGACAGAGAUAAUGGUGGCAGCAGGCAGUUGAACCUCUAAGUGUCGUGAAUGUAAGGGAAAAUGUUGCUCUUUCAAGAACCUCAGACGUGCGAAGGGCUUCCUGCAGGGUUGAGGUCCGGGUCUCUGGGAACAGAGGGCUGCCCAUACGGAACUUGAGAGGGUGCGUGGUAAGGAAGGUUCUGUGUUUCUCUCCCACUUAGACGCUGGAGCUGAAUGCUCUGCUGGGAGGAAGCACUCAUUCUCUGGCAAUGCUGACGGGAGUGGAAAACAAGCAGGAAAGCACAGCCGCCGCCUUCAUCUUGCCUUCCCAUCGCUCACUGGCAGAUUUCGAAUAUGGAAACGGAGCAGACAGAGUCUUAGGAGGGAACAGGGGCUCUUGAACUCUCUGGCUGCUGUUGGAUCCUAUGCCCUCAACAGUAUUGAAUUACCCCUGAGCUAACUACUGCCAGUCCUUCUCUUCUUUGCUGAGGAAGCCUGGCCCUGAGCUAACAUCGUGCCCAUCUUCCUCUACUUUAUAUGUGGGACGCCUACCACAGCAUGGCGUGCCAAGGGAUGCCAUGUCCGCACCCGGGAUCCGAACCUUCAAACCCCAGACCGCUGAGAAGUGGAACGUGCGAACUUAACUGCUGCGCCACCGGGCCAGCCCC
rnacentral:lncRNA from 1 species